rnacentral:rRNA from 1 species
GUCUCGUAGUGACUGCGGAGGGAUCAUUACACAAUUUAAAAUAUGAAGGCUUCGGCUGGAUUAUUUUUUAUCACCCUUGUCUUUUGCGCACUUGUUGUUUCCUGGGCGGGUUCGCCCGCCACCAGGACCACACCAUAAACCUUUUUUAUGCAGUUGCAAUCAGCGUCAGUAUAACAAAUGUAAAUCAUUUACAACUUUCAACAACGGAUCUCUUGGUUCUGGCAUCGAUGAAGAACGCAGCGAAAUGCGAUACGUAGUGUGAAUUGCAGAAUUCAGUGAAUCAUCGAAUCUUUGAACGCACAUUGCGCCCUUUGGUAUUCCAAAGGGCAUGCCUGUUCGAGCGUCAUUUGUACCCUCAAGCUUUGCUUGGUGUUGGGCGUCUUUUGUCUUUGGCUUCGCCCAAAGACUCGCCUUAAAACGAUUGGCAGCCGGCCUACUGGUUUCGCAGCGCAGCACAUUUUUGCGCUUGCAAUCAGCAAAAGAGGACGGCACUCCAUCAAGACUACAUUUUUACGUUUGACCUCGGAUCAGGUAGGGAUACCCGCUGAACUUAAGCAAAUCAAUAAGCGGAGGAAAAGAAACCAACAGGGAUUGCCCUAGUAACGGCGAGUGAAGCGGCAACAGCUCAAAUUUGAAAUCUGGCUCUUUCAGAGUCCGAGUUGUAAUUUGCAGAGGGCGCUUUGGCUUUGGCAGCGGUCCAAGUUCCUUGGAACAGGACGUCACAGAGGGUGAGAAUCCCGUACGUGGUCGCUAGCUAUUGCCGUGUAAAGCCCCUUCGACGAGUCGAGUUGUUUGGGAAUGCAGCUCUAAAUGGGAGGUAAAUUUCUUCUAAAGCUAAAUAUUGGCCAGAGACCGAUAGCGCACAAGUAGAGUGAUCGAAAGAUGAAAAGCACUUUGGAAAGAGAGUCAAACAGCACGUGAAAUUGUUGAAAGGGAAGCGCUUGCAGCCAGACUUGCUUGCAGUUGCUCAUCCGGGCUUUUGCCCGGUGCACUCUUCUGUAGGCAGGCCAGCAUCAGUUUGGGCGGUGGGAUAAAGGUCUCUGUCACGUACCUUCCUUCGGGUUGGCCUUAUAGGGGAGACGUCAUACCACCAGCCUGGACUGAGGUCCGCGCAUCUGCUAGAUG